UUUUGGCUUACCUUUGGCUUUUGAAUCAUGCCGCGGCAGAAUAUCGAGGAGCAACUGCAGAAUACCCGGGACACUCUGUGCUAAAUGAUAGGAAUGUGUACAUAAUGUACAGAGGGACAGAGUGUACAUAAUGUACAGAGCUACUACUGUCCCGGCUUUUCUGCAGUUAGGCCUAUUUCUAGUCCUGUAAAUAAUCAUAGCAGUUACUACAAUUUUUUGGUUUGUUUGAAAUUACAUGUACAUGCAGUUGCCGCAUUAUUUGUGUGUUUACUGUCACUGUGUCUUCAUAACGCAUAUGUCUCUGUUUUCUUCAGAAAACUAGAGCGCUUUUGGACCUCUGAUUAGCUGUGCUGUAACGAUAGCAACGUGGGAUUGUGGUUAUGUUGUAAAUUUUAUUGUUUUGAUAUUUUGAUAGUAAUGUACAUUUGUAUUUGUGUUUCGUGCCUUAUAUGCAAAGAUUGUGUUUUGGCCAAUAAAUUUCAUUUCAUUUCAUUGCACCUGGGUGCCUGCACCCCAUGCCACAUCCUGACGGAACCAUGUGGUUUAAAAAUAUACUCCUUGAUAUUUGUCAACUAGGUAGGUGUAUAGCAAAAACCUAAGAUCAGGAUGAAAGGUAUAACCCCAUUCACUUUCUGCCAACUCUUGCUAUUCACAUUCCAAUACUGUAUUUACAUGGCUAUGCUCAAAAUUACAGAAAGUUUAUUGUGUACAUGAAUGUUUAUGAAUAUAUUUAGUGCCAAAUCAAACAUGUCCCAGUGCCCUUACUCUACAUAUUAGGCACCUUAAUUGACCCACUCACGCCUUCUUUUAAGGUCUGCUCGGGUUAUGACUCGUACACACUCAUACUCCCUUAUUAUCUUUUCAACUGUUUCAUUGUUGAUAUCGUCAGGAAUAUAUCCUUUAUCCUUCAGCACUAUCACUGCACCAACCAUCACUUUACUCACCUUCCCUCCCGUGCACUAAAACUGCAUUCACCAUGCAUCAACCCCAGCCCACCCCCAUCCUGGCACAUUAAAGAAUAUAAUCCUGAUUGUAUCGUAUGAUGAAAGAGUUGUUUAUCAAAAACAAAGUUCGAGUGCAGAGCCAGAUUUCCCCUCUCCUCUAAUGUUUCAUCCCAAUGAUGACAAUCAACCCUAACCAAGGACAGAAGGGAGAACAGCAAGGUAGUAUUCUCGAUCCUGCUUCAAGGUAAGGUAAUGUAAGGUUAGAUGUUAGUUUGUAAAGAGAAUGAGAUGUGAUUGUAUGCUUGUAUCUUUCAAGGCAGCUUCUUCAAUUGAAGGAUGGAUGACCAGCAUUGCCAGGCAAGAAGGAAAAAAGAGAAGGAUCACAUCUGAAUUACUGAGAUCCCCAUUCCAUAGGACUUCAAAGGAGAACCCAUCAAAGAUCGUCUCGAAAGACUUGCCUUGAUGAGGAUACGCUGCAAAACCACUGACGAGGAAAAUCACUUCAUCACCAUCAUUGUGGAAGUUUUAUAGCCCUUUUGGGUCUUCAAUUUAUAAGCUACAACACAAGGAAUACUGUUUGGAACGAACCUGAUAAAACAACUAUCCAUGCACGUUGAUACAGAGCAGGACAAUCCCCUUGAUGCUCUUGUUUGAGGCAAGUGCCAAUUCGAGCGCUGACAUCACAGGGAAUCCCCUAUUGACUCGAGUGGUAGCAUAUGAAUUGUCCACAAAAUUUUCUUUUAUUUCAUGAAAAGUGUGAAAUUUGACAGAGUUUUUGAACAAUGGCGAGCGGGGAAAUCUUGGAUAUGAUGUCAUAACAUGCUAAUUAAUGAAAAUUUUCAAAACAUUCUAAGUUAUCCUGAAAUUACAUGUUAUAAGGUAUUACAAUCUACUAAUAAUUCAAUUUCAUGAAUUUGGUCCCUACCGGCCUUUUUGCGUGGCUGGUCACAUAUUUGUUUCAAAUUGCAACUUCCACGAUUUGUUCCAAAAUGUGAUUUACCUACAUGCUUGAAGAUCACCUGUAUGUAACUGCACAUAAUCUUGCACUGUGGCCCAGUGUGUUUUGCACCCUUGAAACUAAUGUAAUUUAGACCUUUCAAGCCUGAAUGCUCUUGGGAGCGCCUUCCUGUUCUCAGAUAGUCUGUGAAUCAAAUAAGCCACUAAAGUAUGUUGAUAACUUUAUCAUUUAAUACUGUGUCAUCUUCCUUUGUCCCACAUCUUUUAUCAUUUUUAAUUUUUUAAAAUUUUUGCAGAGAAUUUUUUUUGCAUUACAAUUUUUUCCUUUAGUGGUAAAUGUUGGUCAUUAUAGCUAGAUUAGAGGUGGGUUAGGCCUACAGGGUUUUGAUAGCAGUAGUACAACAUUAGUUUAUUUCAUGACUGGCAGUUAGUGCCGUCAUCCGUAGCCACUUGUAGUGUAGCUGUUAGCGAUAUGAUUGAGACUAGUGAGUGUAGUAGGUGUAGGCGCAACGUAGCUAAGGUUAGGCACUCACUGGUCUUUAUCUAAACUCCAGGAAGAUGACACACUCAGGGUAACUGUGGCCAAGCUGAAAUACAAUCUUAUCACUGGUUUUAAACUUGCUUGAACCCAGUUGUUUGCUUUAUUUGGGAAAAGUUUGUUAUCAGAUUUCAAAACUCAGAGGCUCAGUGAGCAUAAUGCACAGUUUAAUGGUAAUAGCAGCUCUAAAUCGGCACUGGGCUUGAAAGGUUUGAAACAUUCAAAUGUGAUAAAAAGGGUAAGCAAAGGCAAUUACUUUUUCUCACCCAUUUUUUCUCAAUCAAAUAUUGUUUAUAAAAUGUAAAAUGUAUGAUGUAAAUAAUGAAGUACAAAAUGUAUAAUUUUGAUGUUUCCCGCGGCACAGCAUGGAGCGGGAAAUAGUUGUCUCCGCGGGGCAGUUGCCUUGGAGGCGCGUGCGGCACGUGAUCAGUGCUGGUGGGCGGUGCAGUGGCGCCACUAGUUUUUUCGGAGCAGCCGUCGUAGUCACAACCAAGUUUCUUCAGUAAUAUGUUUAUAGCAUUUGGGCAAUUUGCAUUGUUUGUGGUUAUAGCCAUAGUACUAUAUUAGUGUAAGUAAGUGUUUGCUAUGGUUUAUGUUGCUCCGGACAAAUGUUCAAAUUUGUAUUUGGUUGUCUUUGCAGAGCAGCUGAGAGGUGUGGCAAUCGCCUAUGGACGUGCAUUUGUAUUGCUCCACCUCCCCCUCCCUUAAAAUAAGUAAAAAAUAAAACGGAAGUUAGGGUUGGGUGGCAGGCUGUUCAUCUUGGCUUGGCUGUUUGUCUGGAAGACGGCUUCUUUUUCAUUAGGUUAAGGGCUUUUUAGGCGGAAGGUGUGUUUUUCGGUUGCAUUUGUCCGGUUCAAUUUGGUUCUUGUACUAUGAUCCAUGUUUUCAGCCAAAGGUGCUGUAUAUCCUGUAACCUGUGGCUGCAGAGUACAUAGUAACGAUGCAGUAGUUAAUAAAGGCUGCGGCAUCCUGUUGUAUAUAUAUUGACGUUGUUGUUGUUGAUUGGCCUCCUUGGGGGAGCCAAGAGGAGACCAAGAAAGUACCUAAUUUAAGUUGGCGUUAUCUAUGUUAUUUAAAGGUUAAAAAUGGAUUACAGGCCCUUACUGAAAACUCAUC